CUAAUUAUAACCAUGCUUUUCACCUAAACCCAUCACUGGCUGAAGCAGCAACUUGUGCAAGUGACAUGCGGUCCUGUUUCUGUUUCUCCUAUUUCUUGUCAUGACAAGUCUGCAGUCUUGCUCUGCAAGAUCCCUCUGCAGUGAUCCAGGAUGUGAUGGGUAACAAAGACCUGCAAACCUGCUACUGCUAGUUCUUGGAGCUUUGAUUGUGACUUGCCACUUAUCCAUGGGAAGAUGCAGAGAUGCAGAAGAAAGACAGCGGGGAAUCAUCAGGGCUUAAGAAGAGGAGAAGCCUCAAAACAUCAACACGUAUACAUUGGAAAGUUCAGAAGACCAUUCUGAGAAAAGAUGCUUUUGCACAUAUAAAAGCUGAAAGAAUCCAUCAACAACAGACUUUCACUAUAGGAUAUGUUAAAGGCCAUUCUUCAGACAGAAGGAAAUGUAUAUCUGGUUAAGAACUUGCAUCUGGAAUAUCUAACAAACACAUCUCAAAAAUGAAGAAAAACAUUCCAAUUAAAAAUCUUAGAAUUUAAUUUAAUUAGAAUUAAAAGGUUUGAAUAAGCAUUUCACCAAAGAUAUAUAAAUGGUCAUGUGAAGGAAUAUGGAGAAAUUAGAACUCUCAUAUAGCAAUUGGAGAUUACUGGUGGAACUAUUAAAUGAUACAGCUACUUUGGAAAACAGUUUGGCAUUUUCUUUAAAAGAAAGUUUAACAUAAUCUUACCAUACAACCCAGCAAUUUCACUCCUAGGAAUCUACCCAAGAGAAAUGUGAACAUUCAUGCAUUCAGAGAUAUAUGCACAACUAUUCAUAGCCCCAUUGUUCAUAGUUGCCAAAAUCUGAUAACAAUCUAAAUCUCCUUGUUGUUGAAUGGAUAUACAAAUGUGUUAUAUCUAUAUGAUGGAAUAUCAUUCAUCAACAAAAAAAAAUAAUGGAUUGCUGAUACAUUUUACAACAUGGAUGAAACUCAAAAACAUACUAAAUGAGAUAUAUAUUUGCUAAGACUUAAUGAUGGACUCAUGGGAAUUCAUUAUACUAUUCUCUGUUUUUGUUUAUAAUUGAAAUUUUUAUAUGUUAAAAAUAAGCAAGUAAAAUUCAAUCUUUAGCAAUCAUUUUUUUUCCAAAAGAAGAGAGAUCCACUCUGAGAUGGAACUAUUAUGGGCAGGAACUAUGUUUGCCAAGGUGAACAACUGGAGGAAAUGGAGUGGAGAUUCAGUAAUCUUACGUUUGUUUAAUGGUGGAAAUUUUCCUCAGAAACUAAUUAUCUAGGAAUGUGAUAGAAAUGGGUGACUUAAACUCUUUACUUCAGCUCAUAAGUCAUAAAUAGGUGAUGCUAAUAAUGCUAUUUUAUAAUAGGGUUUGUAAAUGUUACACAGAUGUAUUAAUGUCAGGCAUUAAUACACACAAAACACUAGCAUAAUGCAUGGCACAUAAUAUACACAACAGAAGUGUUUUCUUUUUAAAUUUUUAUUAUUUUAGAAUAUUUGUCAUUGAUGGGAUACCUGGGUGGCUCAGUCAGUUAAGUGUCUGAUUUCAGCUCAGGUC